ACGUCUACAUUAGAUACCCGCGUAGUCCCAGCCGUAAACUAUGCGCGUUAGGUGUAUCGGUGACCACGAGUUACCGAGGUGCCGAAGGGAAACCGUGAAACGUGCCGCCUGGGAAGUACGGUCGCAAGGCUGAAACUUAAAGGAAUUGGCGGGGAGCACCACAACGGGUGGAGCCUGCGGUUUAAUUGGACUCAACGCCGGGAAGCUCACCGGAUAAGACAGCGGAAUGAUUGCCGGGCUGAAGACUCUGCAUGACUAGCUG
rnacentral:rRNA from 1 species